rnacentral:rRNA from 1 species
UGGGUGAUCUGCCCCAAACUUUGGGAUAAGCCUGGGAAACUGGGUCUAAUACCGAAUAUGACCGAUACUCGCAUGGGUGUUGGUGGAAAGCUCCGGCGGUUUGGGAUGGGCCCGCGGCCUAUCAGCUUGUUGGUGGGGUAAUGGCCUACCAAGGCGACGACGGGUAGCCGGCCUGAGAGGGCGACCGGCCACACUGGGACUGAGACACGGCCCAGACUCCUACGGGAGGCAGCAGUGGGGAAUAUUGCACAAUGGGCGCAAGCCUGAUGCAGCGACGCCGCGUGAGGGAUGACGGCCUUCGGGUUGUAAACCUCUUUCACCAGGGACGAAGCGAAAGUGACGGUACCUGGAGAAGAAGCACCGGCCAACUACGUGCCAGCAGCCGCGGUAAUACGUAGGGUGCGAGCGUUGUCCGGAAUUACUGGGCGUAAAGAGCUCGUAGGCGGUUUGUCGCGUCGUUCGUGAAAACUUGGGGCUUAACUCCAAGCGUGCGGGAUACGGGCAGACUUGAGUACUACAGGGGAGACUGGAAUUCCUGGUGUAGCGGUGAAAUGCGCAGAUAUCAGGAGGAACACCGGUGGCGAAGGCGGGUCUCUGGGUAGUAACUGACGC